ACCAGACCUGGAAAUAUGUAGCAGAAGCUUCCAGUGGUAUAUUUUGGUGUUUCAUGGAAUGGGCCUUGUCCCAUAGAUAGGGCCAUUCAUUUACUUGAUG